rnacentral:rRNA from 1 species
UACGGAGGAUCCGAGCGUUAUCCGGAUUUAUUGGGUUUAAAGGGUGCGCAGGCGGGAGAUUAAGUCGGCGGUGAAAUUUUGCAGCUCAACUGUAAAAGUGCCUUCGAAACUGGUUUCCUCGAGUGUAGAUGAAGUAGGCGGAAUUUGUGGUGUAGCGGUGAAAUGCAUAGAUAUCACGAGGAACUCCGAUUGCGCAGGCAGCUUACUAAACUACUACUGACGCUCAGGCACGAAGGCGUGGGGAUCAAACAGGAUUAGAUACCCCGGUAGUU